GACGAACGCUGGCGGCGUGCUUAACACAUGCAAGUCGAACGGAAAGGCCCUGCUUUUGUGGGGUGCUCGAGUGGCGAACGGGUGAGUAACACGUGAGUAACCUGCCCUUGACUUUGGGAUAACUUCAGGAAACUGGGGCUAAUACCGGAUAGGAGCUCCUGCUGCAUGGUGGGGGUUGGAAAGUUUCGGCGGGUGGGGAUGGACUCGCGGCUUAUCAGCUUGUUGGUGGGGUAGUGGCUUACCAAGGCUUGGACGGGUAGCCGGCCUGAGAGGGUGACCGGCCACAUUGGGACUGAGAUACGGCCCAGACUCCUACGGGAGGCAGCAGUGGGGAAUAUUGCACAAUGGGCGGAAGCCUGAUGCAGCAGCGCCGCGUGCGGGAUGACGGCCUUCGGGUUGUAAACCGCUUUCGCCUGUGACGAAGCGUGAGUGACGGUAAUGGGUAAAGAAGCACCGGCUAACUACGUG
rnacentral:rRNA from 1 species